UCCUUUGCCCAGCACACCUGUCACCCACCUCAACCCCUUCUCUCUUUUCCCCAUCUUUCUGUGGCUAGCUCCUCCUCAUUCUUUAGGUCUCAGUGUAGACAGCACCACUAUCAGGAAGGAGUCCUGACACUGCCAGGCCUAAGAAAUUUAAACUAAAUGCUCUCAAGGGAUGAGAGACACUGGAAGCUGGGAGGCUCUUGGAACUCUGUUGCCAUCAUCAAGGCUUCCAGACACAUCCCUGUAGGUCAUCCAGAGGUGCCAGCCAGCCCUCACCAGUGGUCAGCUUUUCCUCAGUGGAGUGGUGGGUGAGCCAGUGGAGCUUGCUCUGAAGAUACUAGAGGGAGCCAAAGCUGUCUGUCCCUUCAGUGUGACUCAGCUUCCAGACUCUAUCCCUUUAGACAUAAAUGAAGAAAAGUCAACCUUGAUACCUUUGAGGGUUGGUUCAGGGGAUGAUGUGUUGUGGGGUUUUCCCACAGGUCAGCACUCCAACUACCAGGGCCAGAGCCCCAUCAAAGAAUCCUCAGUGCCAGCCGGAAAGAAUGAUGAACUCCUCGUGUAAAGGGAGUUUCGGGCGACCACUCAAACCAUGGCCUCAUGAGAAGCAGCUGACUAGGGAAUGAGAGAGGAAUACAAAAGAGAAGGCAUUGCGAAGCCAAGUCUGGUUGGAGAGAAAAAAUCAAUAUGCCUGAAACAGGGAACUAGAAAGGACUCAGAGAAAACUGCUGACAAGUAUGGGGUUUCUUGGGGUGGGUGGUGAAAAUAUCCCAAAAUAAGAUUAUAGUGAUGUUUUAAUAACCCCCUGGAUAUAAUAAAAAACAUCGAAUUGUACACUU